AUCCUGGCUCAGUCGGUACAGAGUAGCUUGCUUCUCUUGUGAGCGGCGGACGGGUGAGUAAUGCCUAGGAAUCUGCCUGGUAGUGGGGGAUAACGUUCGGAAACGGACGCUAAUACCGCAUACGUCCUACGGGAGAAAGCAGGGGACCUUCGGGCCUUGCGCUAUCAGAUGAGCCUAGGUCGGAUUAGCUAGUUGGUGAGGUAAUGGCUCACCAAGGCGACGAUCCGUAACUGGUCUGAGAGGAUGAUCAGUCACACUGGAACUGAGACACGGUCCAGACUCCUACGGGAGGCAGCAGUGGGGAAUAUUGGACAAUGGGCGAAAGCCUGAUCCAGCCAUGCCGCGUGUGUGAAGAAGGUCUUCGGAUUGUAAAGCACUUUAAGUUGGGAGGAAGGGUUGUAGAUUAAUACUCUGCAAUUUUGACGUUACCGACAGAAUAAGCACCGGCUAACUCUGUGCCAGCAGCCGCGGUAAUACAGAGGGUGCAAGCGUUAAUCGGAAUUACUGGGCGUAAAGCGCGCGUAGGUGGUUUGUUAAGUUGGAUGUGAAAUCCCCGGGCUCAACCUGGGAACUGCAUUCAAAACUGACUGACUAGAGUAUGGUAGAGGGUGGUGGAAUUUCCUGUGUAGCGGUGAAAUGCGUAGAUAUAGGAAGGAACACCAGUGGCGAAGGCGGACCACCUGGACUAGUACUGACACUGAGGUGCGAAAGCGUGGGGAGCAAACAAGGAUUAGAUACCCUGCUAGUCCACGCCGUAACGAUGUCAACUAGCCGUUGGUAGCCUU
rnacentral:rRNA from 1 species